UAAAUUAACUUCUCAUUUACAAAAGAGUCUUCGUAUCUUUUGAAUCUUUAUAAACGGGCAUCAAAUAGGGGAUGGAUGAUGAGUUCAUAAACCGUAAAUAUUGUUUGCAAAGCAGGGGCAACCCGCAUCAACAAAAAAAAACAACCAAAUUAUAUGAGUUCAACCACUCUUCAACUUUCACUCUUUGUAUACCUUUGAACAAAAAAAAAAAAAAAAUAAACGUCACAAACUGAAGAGCUCACUUGAAAUUUCCCACACCCUUGAAAGAAAAUUUUCAAUAAUUUUUCCCAAAUCGAAAAGAAAAUUCGCAAGUAUGUAUAAACUCAUCGAUGCGGGUCAAUAUCCUUGCUAUUAAAAUGACUUAUGUAACGCGGGUAAGGGGUUCUUUUCAUUGCACAGCGCACUUUUUCUUCUUCACAUAAAUGCAAUGAGAAGUUGCGGAUACAAAGUAAGUAAAUGCACUCGUAUUCCUUUAGCUCUCCUUCGAUCGGAAUGACCCAAUUUUUAAUCAGCAAUUUUCCAGUAAAAGUCUAUGAAUUGAAUCUCCUAUCGUCCUACCAUCCGGAGCCGUUGCCGCUGCCGCCGCCGUAGAAAAGCUGAUAUUGUAAUUAAUUUUCAGUUUGAAAAUAAUCGCCCGAAGAAACAGCAAAAGCACAACAAUAAAAUAUUUUUCAUUAACUAUA